AUUGAACGCUGGCGGCAGGCCUAACACAUGCAAGUCGAACGAGUGGCGGACGGGUGAGGAAUGUCUGGGAAACUGCCUGAUGGAGGGGGAUAACCACUGGAAAAGGUAGCUAAUACCGCAUAUCAUCGGAUGUGCCCAUAGGUGAUUAGCUAGUAGGUGGGGUAAAGGCUCACCUAGGCGACGAUCCCUAGCUGGUCUGAGAGGAUGACCAGCCACACUGGAACUGCGACACGGUCCAGACUCCUACGGGAGGCAGCAGUGGGGAAUAUUGCACAAUGGGCGCAAGCCUGAUACAGCCAUGCCGCGUGUAUGAAGAAGGCCUUCGGGUUGUAAAGUACUUUCGGCAGGGAGGCGUUACCCACAGAAGAAGCACCGGCUAACUCCGUGCCAGCCGCCGCGGUAAUUC
rnacentral:rRNA from 1 species